rnacentral:rRNA from 1 species
CCUACGGGGGGCAGCAGUGGGGGAUAUUGCACAAUGGGGGGAACCCUGAUGCAGCGACGCCGCGUGAGUGAAGAAGUAUUUCGGUAUGUAAAGCUCUAUCAGCAGGGAAGAAGAAAGACGGUACCUGAGUAAGAAGCCCCGGCUAACUACGUGCCAGCAGCCGCGGUAAUACGUAGGUGGCAAGCGUUGUCCGGAAUUACUGGGUGUAAAGGGAGCGUAGGCGGGAAGCCAAGUCAGCUGUGAAAACUACGGGCUUAACCUGUAGACUGCAGUUGAAACUGGCUUUCUUGAGUGAAGUAGAGGUU